ACCACUGGGGACGGCAUGACAGAUUAAACACCAACUAUGUGCCAGGCCAGGCCCUGUGCUAGAUGCUGGGGCAGUGACAGACCCUGAGUGGAUGGGAGGCAUCAGAGGGGUAAUUACAAGGCAGGGAGACAAGCGGUGGCCAUGUUGGGGUCACCCUACCUGGCCUGGGGGGGUCAUGAUGUAAGGACACACCAGCUGCCUCAUUAGCAGAGUGACAGUGUCUGUCCCCGACUUCACAUCCAGAUGUCUGAGCUUUACAUCCUAACUCUGUGAGCUUAGGCAAAUCCCUCCCUCCUCUCUGAGCCUUAGUUUCUGCGUCUGCAAAAGGGGUUAAUUCCUUACAACAAAGUGCCAGGGUCCUUGUGGUAGCUGCCUAAGUGGUACCCGUUGUUAGCAUUGUUUAUGGUCGCUAUCAACAGGUAAGUAGGAAAAAGCUAGGGAAAGGGAAGGAUCCCACAGAACGGACUGCACAGGCCACCACAUGGAGACUUGAGAGAGAGGAGCAAACAGAGAACAUGAAGGAGCUCCAGGCUGCUGGAGAGCAAACCCUCCUGCAAAGAAGGAGUGGGGAGAUCUGAGAAUCGAUACUGAACAGCUUCAGUACUACGAUGCCAUAAUGGGGCUGUGAGCUCAGCCGAAAGCCCCCCGCCCAGUUUUUUUUGGAAGUGGUCAUAGAAUCUCUCUGGAGAAACAACAUGGAAAUGGAGACCAAAAGAGGGAAGGAGGGAUGCCACCAGAUGACACUGGGAUCCCGGAAGACGGAACACUGUGUGCAACGGGCAAAGUGUUCUCCACAGGCUCAGUACUUUACAGACGUCACCUCACGUAACCCACGCCACAACCGGGAGAAAGACAUGAUUGGCGUUGUACCCACGAGGAAACAGAGAGGGAAGGGAGCUGUCCAGGACCACAGGGUUGGUUGGUGGAGCAGGCAGGAAAGCCUCACGGAAGAGAACUUUUCAAAAGGGAUUUCAACCUCUGACCACCUGGAGACAGGCGACUGGCGCUCAUUGUAAAUGCACCGACAUGACAGGGAACAGCUGCUGGGGAGGUGGAGACGGGUGCGGGGAGAGACAGGAAACCCCAGAGGCUUGGAAAUCCAGGAGCCACAGGAAGCAGUGAGCUUUCUGCGGAGCCGGAUCCGGUGGAGCCAAUUCACCAGCAGGUCCCGGCAGCGACUCUUCUACAACAGAUUCCUGCCCGUCCCUGUGCCCCAUCGCCCCCCUGCCGUCAAUCUCCACCUCAAGGGAGCCAGACCAAGCCUUUCUGUGUGUAGCGCACAUCUCUCCUGCGUAGAGCUCACCUAGUGGCUUCCAUAGCUUUUUUUUUUUUUUUUUUUUUUUGAGACAGGGUCUUGCCCUGUCACCCAGGCUGGGGUACGGUGGCAUGAUCAUGGCUCACUGCAGCUCGCUCCUGGGCUCAAGUGAUCCUCCUGCCUCAACCUCUCAAGUAGCUGGGACUACAGUCGUGCACCACCCCACCCAGCUAAUUACUAUUUUUUGUAGACGUGGGAUCUUGCUAUGUUGCCCAGGCUGGUCUUGAACUCCUGGCCUCAAGCAACCUUCUCACUUCAGCCUCCCUAAGUGCUGGAAUUAUAGGUAUGAGCCAUCCCGCCAGUCUUCCAUGGCAUUUCUAACAAUAUCCUUGAAGGACCUCUGUGAAUCCCUUUCCCAAUGUCUAUCUGCACUGUCCCUGUCCCAGGCUGAUCCUGCUCAGACACACUGGCUUGCUUUCUGGUCCUCUCACAAGCCAACCCUGUCCCCACCCCAGGGCCUUUGCACUUAUGGUUUUGCCUCUACCUAAAUACCCUAUACCAGUGCUGUCUGAUAGAAAUAUGUAAUAAUGGGGGCCGGGCGUGGUGGCUCACGCCUGUAAUCCCAGCACUUUUGGGAGGCCGAGAUGGGCAGAUCACGAGGUCAGGAGAUCGAGACCAUCCUGGCUAACACAGUGAAACCCCCUCUCUACUAAAAAUACAAAAAAUUAGCCAGGCGUGGUGGCGUGUGCCUGUAGUCCCAGCUACUCAGGAGGCUGAGGCAGGAGAAUGGCGUGAACCCGGGAGGCGGAGCUUACAGUGAGGCGGAGCUUACAGUGAGCUGAGAUCACACGCCACUGCACUCCAGCCUGGGUGACAGAACGAGACUCCAUCUCAAAAAAAAAAAAAAAAAAAAAGUAAUAAUGGGAGCCUCAUAUGUAAUUGUACAUUUUCUAGCAGUAAGAGGAAAUUAAAUUUAAUAAUAUAUUUUAUUUCACCCAAUAGAUCCAAAAUAGUAUCACUUCAAUGUGUAAUCAGUAUUUAAAAAUUCC
rnacentral:lncRNA from 1 species